rnacentral:tRNA from 2 species
GCCCGGGUGGUGGAAUUGGUAGACACAAGGGACUUAAAAUCCCUCGGAGGGUAACCUCUGUACGAGUUCGAGUCUCGUCCCGGGCACCA